GCUGGGUUAGCUUAACUGGUAAAGCCACCGGUCGUUUCUGGUGAGAUGAUAGGUUCAAGUCCCUUCACCCAGCU
rfam:Rhizobiales bacterium 62-17 SCNpilot_cont_300_bf_scaffold_87, whole genome shotgun sequence.